rnacentral:tRNA from 1 species
GUGCCUGUAGCUCAGUGGGUAGGGCAUGUAUUUCCUAAGCUGAAGGUCGCAGGUUCGACCCCUGCCUGGCGCG